rnacentral:lncRNA from 1 species
GGAUCUUGGCUGCUGUCAGGCUCGGGGACUCCCAUAGGAAGCCAGUCCUUGUUCAGUUUACAGUGAAUGAUUCCCUUCCUGCCCCGCACAGCCCUGCAGGCCAUCAGCCAACCAGGUUUGUGCGUGUGUGUGUGUUUAUAUGUAUGUAUGUGUGUGUGUGUAACAGUCAAUGUUUGCAUCUCUGUGUCCCCUCAGUGUCUCCAAGUUUGACAAACCUACAUGCAGUUUUUAUUUCACUCUGACCAUUUUCUCAAAGUGAAUUAUGACGGUUUUAAUCACACAUCAGUUUCUUUCCCAACAUGAAAUUUCUGAUUUGACUUUGUUUCAUUGGUAUAUUAGAGUUUAGUAUAGUGUGGUUAUUGUGUCCCAAAACACACUAAACAGAAAAGCAGCAGGACAAGAUCACAAACUUUUACUGAAGUGGUGAGAACCGGAUCUGAAGAACAAAGACAAUAUAACGAGCCGUGCAUGAUAAUGAUGCAGAGAGGUCUCUUUAUUGUUUUUUUAGAGUUUUUCUGCAUGCAAGAACAGAUCAGUGCUUUAAAAACUGUUGACUAUAAAAACAAAUUAAUGUUGUCUAAAACAAAACAAAAAGAGAAAACUUAUUAAAAGUUCAAAGUUAAACAUUUCCCAAAAAUGCUGUAGAUGAGAUAAAGAUUGAACCGUUGGAUUUUAGGUGACAGAAAUGAAACUCUAUUUAGAAGUUGUAAUGCUUAAUGUCACAGAAGUAUGUUGUUUAAUUUUGUGCAGAAGUUUAAUCAAGAAAAACACAUCAGAGAUUAGGGAGUGACGUUACGCAGAACAAAUCUGCUCCUCUCCAUCCAAAAGGUCAUGGGCAGAGAACAUUUCGAACAUAAAACCGUUGACAAUUACGAAACUGUAAUUUAUCACACUCUUCAAAAACUCUGCAGUAAUGUUUCCUCCCCGUUCAUUAUAAAUCUCACAGGAGAUUGCGAGUUGUUGGAGUCUUGAUAGGCUCCAGUCCUCCAAAACAUAUUUUACGCAGGAUCCUUUUUUUCCUGGCACGUGUUGUUGUCUGAAACAGGCCGUGUUCUCUCUCAGCCGUUACGCAUUAAGAAAAGAUUAGAUGAAUAAUUUCAUCGCUUCCAAAAAUGUGGUGAGAAUAGUCGAUCGGGGUGAACGGAGGUCUUUCUGGUAUCAUCUGUCGCAGCUUUGCAAACACGAUCACGCUCAAUGGAGAGCAGCGAGACUUCACAUCCAGACUCCCUGAUAAUGUACACAUGCAGUCGUCUGCUAAUAGUAUAGUACAGCACUUUUAAAAACAAUAAUACAUCAAGUACAGACAGUUGGCUCAUAUUGUUUUGCUUAUUAUGACAAAGGUUGUCUACUUUUGCCUGGGUUUGGACAAAGCACUUGUUGAUUUAACUCUAUAUUUAUUCUUCUUAUUAUUAUUUUAUAUGUCAUGGUAGAAAAACACAAAAAAGAUCACAAAGAAUUAGCUCAUUCUGUCUCAUUUGGAAACUUCUGGAAACUCUUAUUUAGAUAAUUUUACAUGAAAAUAUAUUUACCUUAUGAUGGGAUCUGUGUACUUCAUAAACUGUUAAACCAAAUAUGUCGUUUUUAGAAUUAUUGUAUCAUUAAAUAGUGCGUUUAACUGAAUGUUUGCUCACAAUUACAUCUUAAAAUAAAACCAAGAGUAAAACAGUAUAACUUUAAAACACUGCAACCCUACGCAAACACACACAACAUUAUGCAAUGCUGCUAUCUUGUGGCAGUACAUUGUUACUUCUUGUCAGCUCAACACCUGAAAGUUCUCAAUUUAUGAACAAAAACACAGAACUCAUAAUAAUGUUUAUUGAUAGAAAUUCAUUUUCAUUCGUAAUUCUAUAAACAUACAAAAAGCUGGUUGAAAAGCAACACAGGUACCCAAUUCUGGAUUUUACAUUUUGGCUUAAAGAUAUUUUUCACUUUUUUAAGAAACAGAAAUAAAUGAUAAUAAAUUAAAGACUUUGUACUAUACAUUUAAAUAAACAUAAUACAAUAUGUAUUACUUCACAAAAGGUGAUCAUGUUACCUUUGGGCUUCUUCGCUGUAUAAAACUGUAAAAAUAUCUAUUUUAUUAUUAAUGAGUAAUUUAAACUAUUAUCAGAAAUAAAACGUCACGAAUAGAUAUUCACAAUAAUGCGACAGAAACUCAGAAGAAAAAGAAAAAAAAUUCACAGAGAGAUCUACAGGGAAAUGGAAAUGUUGUCCAAAAAAUACAAACGGUCCCUCUCUUCCUCCUCAAAACUUAAAUGUAAAGGCUUCACUCUUGUUUACACUCACUGUCCCGUUAUUUCUUAACAUGCGACUCAAUACUAAUUAAGUUUUCACAGAAGACUUUCAACUGGUUUUUACAUGUUUAAAAAUAAUAAUUAGCGUUAUAACCCAAGAAGUGUUGGUAUUCUUCUCUCUGGUCAGUGCAAAUCAUGUCACAAACAAAAAGUAGUCCUUGUGUCCGUACAUUAUGUCAUUUUCGCCGUUGCAUUCACCUCUGAAGCAGAACAAUGGCAUCUGGCAGUGUGGUUACUGACUGAAAACAACUCAUAUCUGCUUUUUUCAACCUCCUCUUUCUUAGUUUGGCCCUACAGUUUGCUGAGCAACAGGCAGGCUCAGUGGAAAAGGAACGACUCCCUCAAUAAAAACAAACUGCUCCUUAUGAGGUACGAAAACACAACAUUUCCAAAUAUCCGGUCUAUUUUGAACAAUACAGAAUUCCCUUUUUUAGCAAUUACUCUGCAAAUAGAUCCCUUAAACAUUAGUACUUCAUAGUAAACCAGAUAGGUCCCAUUCUUCAGGUGAUCCUACCAUAGACUGUUUAUACUAUGGACAACUUGGCUGGACCUAUGAAUUUGAAGCUGAAUUGCUCUUGAUAUUUCCAGGAUUUUUUUUUAAAUUUAAGAGUAAUUCUUAAAAACUGACUUACAUGUGAUGUGUAUUUUUGGGGGAAAUAUGGUUCCUGGAAUAGUCAGUAGACAAUCAUAAUCAUUCAACUGUUUCACUGGUGUUAAAAAUACAGACUGAAAAUCGAGCAAUUCGACAAUAUCGUAGGAUCGCAAUUUGAACCGAAUCAGCAUCCAAAAAAU